rnacentral:rRNA from 1 species
UACGUAGGUGGCAAGCGUUAUCCGGAAUUAUUGGGCGUAAAGCGCGCGCAGGCGGUUUCUUAAGUCUGAUGUGAAAGCCCACGGCUCAACCGUGGAGGGUCAUUGGAAACUGGGGAACUUGAGUGCAGAAGAGGAAAGUGGAAUUCCAAGUGUAGCGGUGAAAUGCGUAGAGAUUUGGAGGAACACCAGUGGCGAAGGCGACUUUCUGGUCUGUAACUGACACUGAGGCGCGAAAGCGUGGGGAGCGAACAGG